rnacentral:rRNA from 1 species
UACAGAGGUCCCAAGCGUUGUUCGGAUUCACUGGGCGUAAAGGGUGUGUAGGCGGUCGGGUAAGUCUGACGUGAAAUCUCCAAGCUCAACUUGGAAAUGGCGUCGGAUACUAUUCGGCUGGAGGAAUGGAGGGGAGACUGGAAUUCUCGGUGUAGCAGUGAAAUGCGUAGAUAUCAGGAGGAACACCGGUGGCGAAGGCGGAUCUCUGGGCCUUACCUGACGCUCAGGUGCGAAAGCGUGGGGAGCAAACAGG